GGAGAGAUGGCUCAGUGGUUAAGAGCACCGACUCCUCUUCGAAGGUCCUGAGUUCAAAUCCCAGCAACCUUA
rnacentral:tRNA from 1 species